rnacentral:rRNA from 1 species
AUUGAACGCUGGCGGCAUGCCUUACACAUGCCAGUCGAACGGCAGCGCGGACUUCGGUCUGGCGGCGAGUGGCGAACGGGUGAGUAAUACAUCGGAACGUACCCUGUUGUGGGGGAUAACUAGUCGAAAGAUUAGCUAAUACCGCAUACGACCUGAGGGUGAAAGUGGGGGACCGCAAGGCCUCACGCAGCAGGAGCGGCCGAUGUCUGAUUAGCUAGUUGGUGGGGUAAAGGCCCACCAAGGCGACGAUCAGUAGCUAGUCUGAGAGGACGAUCAGCCACACUGGGACUGAGACACGGCCCAGACUCCUACGGGAGGCAGCAGUGGGGAAUUUUGGACAAUGGGGGCAACCCUGAUCCAGCAAUGCCGCGUGUGUGAAGAAGGCCUUCGGGUUGUAAAGCACUUUUGUCCGGAAAGAAAUCGCGCUGGUUAAUACCUGGCGUGGAUGACGGUACCGGAAGAAUAAGCACCGGCUAACUACGUG